ACAUGAGUUUUUAUAACAAAGUAGAUAAAUCUUUGUAGAAAGAAUAAUUUUACAUAAGAUUACAUUAAUUAUAAUUUGACAAAACAUUACUUUAAUUUUAAAAAUAGCAAAACAUGAGUUUUUAUUUUAUCUCAAAACAUAAAUAUGAGACCUUUUAUUAAGUAGUAGUAAUUUUUAAAAAUAAUUAUGAGAAUGUGUCAAAGAAAAGAAAGAAAGAAAAAAUAGAAAUUUUAUUAAGUAAUUUUUAAAAUAUUUUUGGAGGCAGUGGUACUGUCCAUUCUUAUUCCAAUUCCAACAAAUUGAGUAACUCUUGUAUUGUAAGCAAUUACUCCAAUAGUAUUUUUCCCUUUUUCUAACGAACUCCAAUCCACUACUAGCCGAUCAUCAUAUAACCGCCUCCACUCACUCCAAUCCACUGCAAUCCACUAUUUCACAUGUUCAUCUUCUUCUCAUUCAUUCUUCAACAACCUACACUGCGAUUUCCGUUUCUUCUUUCGCGAUGAAUCGCUUAAAGGACAUUUUCCGCCACAUAUCCAAAUCCAAUAUCAACAUGCUUCUUGAUUUUCACUCAAACAUUCUUCAAAACCCUAACACUAUUACUCUAUCUCGCCGAUUUGGAACCCAACUCGAUCAUCAAUUGAACA
rnacentral:lncRNA from 1 species